ensembl:lncRNA
CCGGCACUUGCUACGUUUCCAGCACUUUCUGUACGUUUUCUCAUUCACCCCUCACCAGGGCUGAGUGAGGUGCUCUGGUGCCCAUUUUACAGUGAAAAAACUGAGGCCCAGGAGGGUAAGUGACUUGCUCAAGGUCACACAGCCAGGGAGGGGUGGAGUUCAGAUCCAGAUCCUGGUCCGUCUGAAUUCCAGGCCCUGGCCCCUCCCAGGUCCCAAUGCCCUCAGGCCGAGGAGGCCCAAAGGGGACAGAGGCAGCUGUGACCUUAACAGAUCGUGAGGACUUCCUUGCUCAGCAUCCCUGAGCUGAGCGUCUUCCCUUUGCCCCUGCAGACCACAGCCCGCCCUCUGCGCCCCUGCUCUGGGUCCCGGGAGGCUGACUGUGCGGGCAGCAUCCGCGGGCUCCCUGGUCCUUGUCUAUUAGCAUCUGGCUGGGUUCCAUCACUGGGGCAGGGGAGCAGAGGGAAGGAGGAGAGUGAGCAGGGAGCCUGCCCCCCACCAUCUGCCUGCCUCGGGCGGGCUCUGUCCCCUUACUGACGGCCACGGCCCCCGCAGGCUCCCUCUGUAGCGUUCUCUGCCGAUCUGGCUGCUCCCUUCAGACCCGGGGUGGUGACAGCCCUCCAACUUUUCUGUGGGACUGUCUACAGGGCCCGGGCUCAGGACAGAGGAGCAGGGAUGGGCUGAUAACGCUGGACCCUGACGUCAGCAGGGUGGAUGAGCUCCUCAGGGAGCGUGCAGAGAUGACGCUCAGGGACCAAGCCCAGGGGUAGCUGACAUUUCCGAGUCCCCAGAGGCUGAGGAGCCAACGAGGUGGCUGAGGCCACACGGGGCCAGAGCCUUGCUUUCUCACAUCCCGGCUGGAAACUGUUACUGGCUGACUCCGUCUCAUUCGUCAAAGCGGGGGAGGUCUGUGAACCGCGGUCUCUGGACACAGCGCUCUCUGUCCCCGGCGGGGGAUCUCCCCCAGCAGAUAACUCUGCGUCACGCCCCUGCCUCCUGGGGCUUCUCCAGCCGGCAUCCAGCAGCCUGGCUUUGUGUUCCGAGGGCCUAUGAAGGCAUGUGGAGACUCAGACUGGGAACGAAGUGACCUUCUUUUUGAAAAGCCUGUUCCAUCCCGGGGGACCUGGUUGGCUGAGACCUCCGGAGCCAACCCCCCAGGGUGCUGGUUUACGAGCAGCGCCUUUCGCAUUUCUGCGCAUCAGGACCACACCCGCCCUGCCUGUGGCCUGUGUCCUGCCACCAGUACCCAGCCACCUGCAGAGAGAGCACGCCUGCAGCGGGUGGUAGGGAGGGGGACAGGGUCCCAUCGCAUACGUCUAGGCUCAGAGAAGAGGAAGGAAAGACGGGAAUUUGAUUCUUACGUGGGAGCUACGAAAAUCCAUCUUUGAACGAAGACGACCAGACGAUGGGAUGCAGACGGGCAGGGGCUGCCCAACACAUGGAGCUCCAAGGGUGGUCAGGACACACCAUGAAAACAGCCGCCGCUGAGGAGCCUCAGGACACGCGCAGAGCUGUGCUGGCGGCCUGACUUUCAUCCGAUCCUCAGUCAGCCCUGCAAGACGAGGACAGCGCGGCACAGAAAGGCUCACCACAGGUUUGGACUGAAGUACCACCACGCACGUCAUAGUCUGCCCCGUCCUGGACCUGGGCUGAGCAGGAUGUGGACAGAUUCCCAAGGAAGCAGGCAGCUGGGCCGACAGCCAGCCAGGCCCGGUCCACCCCAAGCAGCCAAAUUCUUCCCGCCUGCCUCUGACCCACCCUGGGGCUCCGAGAAAGAAGCCGGGCUCCAAAGACAAUUUCUAAUAAAGCUAAACGAGAGGAAGCUCUGAAAUGAGAGCGGGGGCGGGGGGGCCCCGGGCCUUUGAACCUGCUGGGGUGGCACUGGCCGGUGCCCCAGUGGCCUCCACACUCAGCCUCCCUUAUGAAAAUAGGCCGGGUGCGUGGGCCUCGGGCAGCCUGGAGACGGAUGCAGGUCCGUUGGCACCCUCAGCCGGCAAUGUGCCGCAGGGCGCCCGGAGCCCAGCCCAGGUCGGGCGGGUGACACUGGCAAUGCUGACCUGCCCCCAGUGUUUGGCUGGGCCGCGGAAGGAGACUGGCAGGUCCUGGGCGGGGAGGCCUUGACCAGCGGAGAGGCAGAGCACAGAGGUCACGGGCCGGGGAUGGGGUCAGACUGCCCACGGCAGAUCCUGGCUCUGCCCUCCGAAGGGCCCCAGUUUGUAGGGGGAGACUGGGUCUAGCUUGCAGCCCCCUGGGGGCAGGCGGGACGGAUUACCGGGAGGCAGGAGGGCUUGCUUUCGGGGGGGUCUGAGCCCCCCACCCCAGCGAAGCCUCUUCCGGCCGGGGAGGGAGGGCACAGCCCACGCCCUCAGCCUCGCCCUCCUCCCGCCCUCCGUCCCCCAUCCCCCAUCCCGCAGGAGGCCCUGUCUGCUCGCCGCUGCUCUUCGGCCCUUUCCCCACACUUCCACCGAGGAUUUAUGGUUUUAAUAAUGCAGACUUUGUCCACCAGCCUCCCUUCUGUUUAGGCCCCUCUAAAGAUCCUUAAAAUUAAAACACUAAUCAGGAAUUUAUUUUCUCAUCAAUCCUGCCCUUCA